UGUAUUCUGCUAUGUCUACUGGGAGAAUACACUAGUGGGGAUAGUUCUGUGUAUACAGUGAUUAAGCACAUAGGUUCUGGAGCCAGUCUGUUUCUUUCAAAAUCACCUCAUUGCUUUUGAAGAAUCAGGGAAACCCCCAUGAGACUACAGGUGUGAAGCAAGAUAGAAGCAUCAGUGCAAAAGAGAUUCUCUUACUGAGAUACCUUGGAACAUGGUUUGAAUAAUAUUGCUCUAACUUCUUUCAUGUCAGGAAGCUCUGAGUUGCCAUAGACUUGCGGAAAUGCCUGCUACAUACAUGCGUGUUGAACAAUGAACUUCAUAACUGACAUAUUUAUCAGAGAAUCAGGAUGAGAGAAGAUGCAGAAACACAGAAAGGAAGAGGAUUAGCAACUUUCCCAGAUCUGAGUUGAGCUGAGAUUUGAGUCAAGGCAAUAUUGCUUCUGGGGCUGUAACAACUACAUUUUAUUGUCUCCUGAACAGAUACUUCCUUUUCUUACUUAAUAAGAAUAGACCUUGGAGGUCUGGACCUGGACAUGAACGUACACUUUUCUAAAGAAGAUAUACACAUGGCCAACAAGCAUGUGAAAAAAAGCUCAAUAUCACUGAUCAUUAGAGAAAUGCAAAUGAAAAUCACAAUGAGAGACCAUCUCACACCAGUCAGAAUGGCUAUUAUUAAAAACUCAAAAAAUAACAGAUGCUGGCGAGGUUGCAGAGAAAAGGGAACACUUAUACACUGUUGGUGGGAGUGUAAAUUAGUUCAACUAUUGUGUAAAGCAAUAUGUCAAUUCCUCAAAGAGCUAAAAAAGAACUACCAUUGGACUCAGCAAUCCCAUUACUGGGUAUAUACUCAGAGGAAUAUAAGUCACUCUACUAUAAACACACACGCAUGCAAAUUUUCAUUGUAGCACUAUUUACAAUAGCAAAGACAUGGAAUCAACCUAAAUGCUCAUCAAUGACAGAUCGGAUAAAGAAAAUAUGCAUCUUCAACCUUUCUGGACUACAGCACCUGCCAACUGACCCCCACAUCAUGGCUCCAACGCUGGCUUCAUCACAUAUCUUCUCUCUCAGUCCCUUUGGCUCUCAGGGUGCAAUAGCUUAACAAAAUUGCUGAUCUAGGUGCCUCAGCAUUGUUUCUUUGUCAUAGUCUCUGUAUUAUCUUAUUUUGAGCCAUUCUUUUCCUGCAAAGAUCCUAACUGAAUGAGAUAACUACUUCAUAAGCUAUUUGUAAGGUUUAAAUAAAUUAAUGCAUAUUUAAUACAUGAA
rnacentral:lncRNA from 1 species